GACGAACCGUGCGAACGUUGUUCGGAAUCACUGGGCGUAAAGGGCGCGUAGGUGGCGACCCAAGUCGAUGGUGAAAGCUCGCCGCUCAACGGCGAGUCGGCCACCGAUACUGGGUUGCUGGAGCACUGUAGAGGCUCAUGGAAUUCCGGGUGUAGCAGUGAAAUGCGUAGAGAUGCGGAGGAACACCGAUGGCGAAGGCAGCCCCCUGGGCUAGCACUGACGCUCAGGCACGAAAGCGUGGGGAGCAAACAGG
rnacentral:rRNA from 1 species